UGCGUAGGCGGCGCGGAAAGUUGGGUGUGAAAUCCCUCGGCUUAACCGAGGAACUGCGCCCAAAACUACCGUGCUCGAGGGAGAUAGAGGUGAGCGGAACUUAGGGUGGAGCGGUGAAAUGCGUUGAUAUCCUAAGGAACACCGGUGGCGAAAGCGGCUCACUGGAUCUCUUCUGACGCUGAGGCACGAAAGCUAGGGUAGCGAACG
rnacentral:rRNA from 1 species